GGGCUUCGGCCCCGUGGAAACUGGCGCACGGGUGAGGAACGCGUGGGAAUCUACCCCGGGGUGGGGAAUAACCGCUGGAAACGGCGGCUAAUACCGCAUACGCCUUGCGAGGGAAAGCUUUAGCGCCCUGGGAUGAGCCCGCGUCGGAUUAGCUUGUUGGUGAGGUAACGGCUCACCAAGGCUUCGAUCCGUAGCUGGUCUGAGAGGAUGAUCAGCCACACUGGGACUGAGACACGGCCCAGACUCCUACGGGAGGCAGCAGUGGGGAAUAUUGGACAAUGGGGGCAACCCUGAUCCAGCCAUGCCGCGUGCGUGAAGAAGGCCUUAGGGUUGUAAAGCGCUUUCGGCGGGGAAGAUGAUGACGGUACCCGCAGAAGAAGCUCCGGCUAACUCCGUGCCAGCAGCCGCGGUAAUACGGAGGGGGCUAGCGUUGUUCGGAAUUACUGGGCGUAAAGGGCGCGUAGGCGGAUCGUCAAGUCAGAGGUGAAAGCCCUGGGCUCAACCUGGGAACUGCCUUUGAAACUAAUGGUCUAGAGUCCGAGAGAGGAUGGCGGAAUUCCCAGUGUAGAGGUGAAAUUCGUAGAUAUUGGGAAGAACACCAGUGGCGAAGGCGGCCAUCUGGCUCGGUACUGACGCUGAGG
rnacentral:rRNA from 1 species